rnacentral:rRNA from 1 species
GCUUAACACAUGCAAGUCGAGGGGCAGCAUGGUCUUAGCUUGCUAAGGCCGAUGGCGACCGGCGCACGGGUGAGUAACACGUAUCCAACCUGCCGUCUACUCUUGGACAGCCUUCUGAAAGGAAGAUUAAUACAAGAUGGCAUCAUGAGUCCGCAUGUUCACAUGAUUAAAGGUAUUCCGGUAGACGAUGGGGAUGCGUUCCAUUAGAUAGUAGGCGGGGUAACGGCCCACCUAGUCUUCGAUGGAUAGGGGUUCUGAGAGGAAGGUCCCCCACAUUGGAACUGAGACACGGUCCAAACUCCUACGGGAGGCAGCAGUGAGGAAUAUUGGUCAAUGGGCGAGAGCCUGAACCAGCCAAGUAGCGUGAAGGAUGACUGCCCUAUGGGUUGUAAACUUCUUUUAUAAAGGAAUAAAGUCGGGUAUGCAUACCCGUUUGCAUGUACUUUAUGAAUAAGGAUCGGCUAACUCCGUGCCAGCAGCCGCGGUAAUACGGAGGAUCCGAGCGUUAUCCGGAUUUAUUGGGUUUAAAGGGAGCGUAGAUGGAUGUUUAAGUCAGUUGUGAAAGUUUGCGGCUCAACCGUAAAAUUGCAGUUGAUACUGGAUAUCUUGAGUGCAGUUGAGGCAGGCGGAAUUCGUGGUGUAGCGGUGAAAUGCUUAGAUAUCACGAAGAACUCCGAUUGCGAAGGCAGCCUGCUAAGCUGCAACUGACAUUGAGGCUCGAAAGUGUGGGUAUCAAACAGGAUUAGAUACCCUGGUAGUCCACACGGUAAACGAUGAAUACUCGCUGUUUGCGAUAUACAGCAAGCGGCCAAGCGAAAGCGUUAAGUAUUCCACCUGGGGAGUACGCCGGCAACGGUGAAACUCAAAGGAAUUGACGGGGGCCCGCACAAGCGGAGGAACAUGUGGUUUAAUUCGAUGAUACGCGAGGAACCUUACCCGGGCUUAAAUUGCAGAUGAAUUACGGUGAAAGCCGUAAGCCGCAAGGCAUCUGUGAAGGUGCUGCAUGGUUGUCGUCAGCUCGUGCCGUGAGGUGUCGGCUUAAGUGCCAUAACGAGCGCAACCCUUGUUGUCAGUUACUAACAGGUUCCGCUGAGGACUCUGACAAGACUGCCAUCGUAAGAUGUGAGGAAGGUGGGGAUGACGUCAAAUCAGCACGGCCCUUACGUCCGGGGCUACACACGUGUUACAAUGGGGGGUACAGAGGGCCGCUACCACGCGAGUGGAUGCCAAUCCCCAAAACCUCUCUCAGUUCGGACUGGAGUCUGCAACCCGACUCCACGAAGCUGGAUUCGCUAGUAAUCGCGCAUCAGCCACGGCGCGGUGAAUACGUUCCCGGGCCUUGUACACACCGCCCGUCAAGCCAUGGGAGCCGGGGGUACCUGAAGUGCGUAACCGCGAGGAGCGCCCUAGGGUAAAACUGGUGACUGGGGCUAAGU